UUUUUUUUUUUUUACAAGCUGUAGUUAUCCUCUUGAGGACCAGCCCAUCAGGUCUAAAAUAUCAGAUACUGUAUUCAAAACCUUGUGAACACACGCACACACACACACACACACACACACACACGACAUUCAGUUUUCCUCUAGCCCUUUACUGUAUGAUCACGAGCACCGAAGCGUUGCUUCUCCUUUUCAUAAACCGCCAUCAUUUCCACCAUCAUGGUUAUUGUCAUGUAUUAACAUCCUUACAUAACAUCUGCAUCGGAUUUCAGCUGCCAUAUGAGAACAGGGGAGGGAAACUGCAGUGAUUUUGGAUUGCACCCGAAGCAAAAAGCCGAGUAUCACUGAAAAAAUCAUUAUGGAAUUGGAUAAACUGCACCGACAAUACAAGACUAACCAGAGGAACAUACAUGGACGGUUUUAAUUGAAGGAUGUGUGCAUCAUGGUGGAUUGUGUUGCCUGAAUUAAU